rnacentral:rRNA from 1 species
AACGACGCUGGCGGCAGGCCUAACACAUGCAAGUCGAACGCCCCGCAAGGGGAGUGGCAGACGGGUGAGUAACACGUGGGAACAUGCCCUUCGGUACGGAAUAACUCAGGGAAACUUGUGCUAAUACCGUAUACGUCCGAGAGGAGAAAGAUUUAUCGCCGAAGGAUUGGCCCGCGUCUGAUUAGCUAGUUGGUGAGGUAAUGGCUCACCAAGGCGACGAUCAGUAGCUGGUCUGAGAGGAUGAUCAGCCACAUUGGGACUGAGACACGGCCCAAACUCCUACGGGAGGCAGCAGUGGGGAAUAUUGGACAAUGGGCGCAAGCCUGAUCCAGCCAUGCCGCGUGAGUGAUGAAGGCCUUAGGGUUGUAAAGCUCUUUUACCCGGGAAGAUAAUGACUGUACCGCAAGAAUAAGCCCCGGCUAACUUCGUG